rnacentral:tRNA from 1 species
CCUAAGGUGGCAGAACAAUGCGUAGGGUUUAAGCCCCUAUUAUGGGUUUUGCCCCCCUAGAAA